GUUGCCAUCAAACCGGAUGUCGCUUGCAGGGACGCGGUCGUGCAGGAAAUUAUUUGGCAUUAGAUUCAAAUGUUAACUGUAAGACUGUGUCUUUGCGGGUGAUUAUUGGCAGCUCGGAUU
rnacentral:pre_miRNA from 14 species